CUACCGCGUCUUUCCGACUCGGCCGCAUUUCCCUGGUGCGCGUGCGGUCCUUAAGUACCCUCCGCCGAGCGGCACAUAUCUCCCACUGACUACACAGUAAAAUUACAAGAGUAAAAUUUCCGUAGUUAAAAUUAUUUUACUCAAAUAGUAUUUUUUGCUCUGAUUUGAGGUGAAAGAUCAAAACAAGGGUUGAGAGACACGCAGAGUUAGAUCUGAAUAACGGAGUCAUAAUUUUGACUCCUCCCAGAGGGCAACGCAGUUAAGUUUCGUUUUGUCCGCCAUUACGCCGAUGGUCAUUCAACCGAUCUGGAGAAAAGUCUGCUAGGAAAAUAACAACGUAAGAUGGAGGCAACUGUUAGGGUGAAAUAUAAGGACAGAAAGAAGUACUUCUUCCUAACAUCACCUUUUCAAUUCGAAGUAUUUUUGGAAAGUGAUUCCUUCAGUUCUAGUACGAUUGGCGAUGGUGAGGCUUCAUCAGGAUCUGAUGAUACAGCAAUAGUGAUCAGAAAUCCCUCAGAAAAAAGAGAUGCAGAGGAUCGUCGUCUGGGUCGAAUGAUUGAGGACAUCCUCAAGAGUAGCCCUGGAGGUGAUAAGAUCACACAUGAGUAUGCUCACACAAAAACAUUGUCAGAUGUCAGAAGACGUGACCUAGUGAAGAUACUAGUUGCACAUCUGACAAAUGAGCAUGGCACAAGCCCCCCUAGGAGAUUGAAGGAGGAAUACGCCAAAGGAAUCAUCUGCCUUUUUCCUUACUUGGCUGACCCCCUGAGCAAGCUUGGCUAUGUAAGUUACUGCUGCUUUUCUGGUGAAAUGGUUUCAAAUCAGUCCCGUAUUUAUGGGACUGGGAAAAGUAUAUUUGUAUUUACAUGUUUUUCCCCUUAUUUUCAAAGGAACAUUUUAAAAUGCUGAAGAUGGAAGUGGGUAUUUGGCUUGGAGAAUCAAAACUCUGCAGAAAGAGGUGUCCGAGGGGCGAAUGAAACGGUCACGACAACUUCAAACAGGCCAGUGAUUAAUUUGGAACAUGACCACUAGUUUAUUUGGUCUAGGUUUUCUUUUGAGUAUUAAACUGGCAUGUUGUCCCAAACCUUUAGGUGGGCCAACUUCACACAGGGAUCCAUUGAAAGAAGACAUCCAGUGGGACGGACAGCAGUGUCAAGAAGCAAUUGCCCUGAUGAAGCAUUCCACGGAUGAAGUUGUAGUGAAGGAGAAAAUGAGGCUAACCAUGGCCCAUCGUCAGAAGUUGCUGCACGAUCCUGAGAACUCAGCCGACAUCCUAUCUGUUUUUCCUCGUUUCUUGGACAUUCCAGGUUUGGUGAGUAAAGAAAUACAAAGUAAUGUUUUGUGUAGUUUGUUAUUGUUUGUUUUGUCAGACAGAAUGUCAAUUUAUCUUUGUUUGCUUUUACAUGUUUUGAUUGCUAUCUGCCGAACCUGAUCAGACUUCAGAAAUGAUCUCUGUAGCUACUUUGACCAUCUACUGUGGGACUUACACUAAAUGUCUUUGCCAUGUCUUGUAGAUUGAUCAAGAUUUCAGGAGUCUUUUUGGUGACGCAACCUCUGCAAAGAUGUUGGAGAAGUGGACCACCAACUUUCAAGCAAAGGUUGUUACUCAGUGUCGUGGGCUUACACUGACUGGAGAUGUACAAGACCUCAUCCAAAAUGCUGAAGCCACUGAAGUAGAUGAUGGUAAUGUCUUCUCCUUCGACUAGUCUAGAUGGAAUGGCCACUCACAAAGUUACUGGAGUUAUAUGUACAUAUCAACCUGUUGCCUUGAGAAACGGAAGUGGCUGUCAUUCACAUGUGAAAUCACUGGGAAUACAGUAAUUGAACUGCACAAAGUUUUUUUUAUAGUUUCCUACUCAAAACUCAUGUCAUUGAUCCUUUUGCAGGCUUUAUUGGUUAUGGAUAAUCCGUCUGAUGCUCCGUCUGUAAAUCUGAAUCAAUAUGAAAUGCUUAACUGUUCUGUUUUUGUUAUAUAUUCCCCAGGCUGGGACAGUGACAUGUCAUCAAUGCUGUUGCUGGUUCACCUUCUGCCACCUUCAAGCCAAGGCCGAAAAAGACCAGGGAAAAUCUCAGCCAGACAAGCAUGCAACAGUCUUGUAAAAUUCAUCAAGGUGAGCUUUGUGUGGAACAAAAAGGGUUGGAAAAUACUUCCUCUUUUAUUAUGCUAAUAGUGCUGGGCCAUUGGGUAACGCUUGAAUAACUAACAAAAGGUGGCCACACACGUUGCGUAACACUGACCUUAUUUGCAUUUACGUGUUUUGGCGUUGUCUUCAGAGUGCUUUACAGCGUAUGUGCUAAUAAGUGUUAUGCAUACUGUGCCCUCUUCCUUUUUACUCUUAUUGUAACUUUGUAAGAAUCCAAAACAUAAUAAAUGACCAUGCCUCCUUAUUCAACCACAAAUUGGGACCAGCAUCCAAGGACACCUGGACAACAUCUCUGGGAGACUCCAGCCAUACCUACUUGCUGUUGGUGCCAAGAAGAGCAUGAUCGAGUCCUAAUACAUCGUGAUCGACAAACAUGCUCUACCCUGCAAGACCUCAACUUCAUUGGCUUGUGUUGAUGAACUUUUCAAAGCACAUUUCGUCUUUGGCACAAGAUACUGUCAGGAAUCACGCGAUUGCGUGCUCAUGCGCACGAACGUUAAUCUAUUGAAGCGUGUUCCAGAGUACGAUAGUCCGACUUUUUGCGUGCUACACAGAACGAAAUGUAAACCAAUGCUUUCUGAAUGGGAGUGUUGUCAGACAAUGAACGUGCUCCACAAAACGCUACGAGAGAGAGAGAAUGAGAGAGAGGGAGAG
rnacentral:lncRNA from 1 species